CGGCGCGAAUUCGCCCUUCAGCAGCCGCGGUAAUACGUAGGGCGCAAGCGUUAUCCGGAAUUAUCGNUUCGUAAAGAGCUCGUAGGCGGUUUGUCGCGUCUGCUGUGAAAUCCGGAGGCUCAACCUCCGGCCUGCAGNGGGUACGGGCAGACUAGAGUGCGGUAGGGGAGAUUGGAAUUCCUGGUGUAGCGGUGGAAUGCGCAGAUAUCAGGAGGAACACCGAUGGCGAAGGCAGAUCUCUGGGCCGUAACUGACGCUGAGGAGCGAAAGGGUGGGGAGCAAACAGGCUUAGAUACCCUGGUAGUCCACCCCGUAAACGUUGGGAACUAGUUGUGGGGUCCAUUCCACGGAUUCCGUGACGCAGCUAACGCAUUAAGUUCCCCGCCUGGGGAGUACGGCCGCAAGGCUAAAACUCAAAGGAAUUGACGG
rnacentral:rRNA from 1 species